CUGCAGAUACGGUGACAUGGUUCCCAACACCAUCGCAGGAAAGAUCUUUGGUUCUAUCUGCUCACUGAGCGGCGUGCUGGUGAUCGCCCUCCCUGUGCCCGUCAUCGUGUCCAAC